AGAGUUUGAUCCUGGCUCAGGAUGAACGCUAGCGACAGGCCUAACACAUGCAAGUCGAGGGGCAGCGAAGAGGUAGCAAUACCUUUGCCGGCGACCGGCGCACGGGUGAGUAACACGUAUGCAAUCCACCUGUAACAGGGGGAUAACCCGGAGAAAUCCGGACUAAUACCCCAUAAUAUGGGCGCUCCGCAUGGAGAGCCCAUUAAAGAGAGCAAUUUUGGUUACAGACGAGCAUGCGCUCCAUUAGCCAGUUGGCGGGGUAACGGCCCACCAAAGCGACGAUGGAUAGGGGUUCUGAGAGGAAGGUCCCCCACAUUGGAACUGAGACACGGUCCAAACUCCUACGGGAGGCAGCAGUGAGGAAUAUUGGUCAAUGGUCGGCAGACUGAACCAGCCAAGUCGCGUGAGGGAAGACGGCCCUACGGGUUGUAAACCUCUUUUGUCGGAGAGUAAAGUACGCUACGUGUAGCGUAUUGCAAGUAUCCGAAGAAAAAGCAUCGGCUAACUCCGUGCCAGCAGCCGCGGUAAUACGGAGGAUGCGAGCGUUAUCCGGAUUUAUUGGGUUUAAAGGGUGCGUAGGCGGCACGCCAAGUCAGCGGUGAAAUUUCCGGGCUCAACCCGGAGUGUGCCGUUGAAACUGGCGAGCUAGAGUACACAAGAGGCAGGCGGAAUGCGUGGUGUAGCGGUGAAAUGCAUAGAUAUCACGCAGAACCCCGAUUGCGAAGGCAGCCUGCUAGGGUGAAACAGACGCUGAGGCACGAAAGCGUGGGUAUCGAACAGGAUUAGAUACCCUGGUAGUCCACGCAGUAAACGAUGAAUACUAACUGUUUGCGAUACAAUGUAAGCGGUACAGCGAAAGCGUUAAGUAUUCCACCUGGGGAGUACGCCGGCAACGGUGAAACUCAA
rnacentral:rRNA from 1 species